AAUGUUUCUGCAUUCAUGUUGGUAAUUUAAUCACGAAUACGCGUAAGAAAUUGACGUUUUGUAGAAAUUUUAAAUUCGAGUUGUUCUAAUUGUGGCAUUGCAUUACAUUUGAUACAUUUUACGGAUUUUGUACUGAGUGCAUAUUGUUGUUUCAGCUAAUAUGCAAAGGGAAACUAUCUAGUGACAUUAACGUUUGUCUUCUUGUCGAUUUACGCUGCGCAAGUCAGUGUAUACUGGAAUCUAUUUUUGGAUGGAUAAUAUAAAGACGUUCUGUAAAUAGGUUUUGGUCGAUAUUUGUUUCUAAGAAUAGCUCUCUCUUCUAUAGUAAAGAAAGUUGCUGUUCUCUUUAGCUAGACUAUUUUUAAUGUAGUGCCGCUUACAAAUAUUUUUAGUUAAGGGGUUGUGUUUUAGUAUUGACCGGAACGGGUGCCAGUGGUGGUGAUGACGCAAAGAAGUUCAAAAGGUCGUUCAAAUUAACAUGUAGAAUGUACGUCAGAAAUAAACGAAUUUCGUCUCCAUAGGCAACCGAUUGCGUAGGCGUUUUGUCCGGAUCAAUACAUGUGUGAACUAAUAUUCCUUGUGAAAUACAUAAAAUUGCUUCUGUUUCCUUUAUAAUUACGCGAGUGCUACUGCUGGAUUAAAUGUCAUAAAUAAUGCACAGCCAGAAGACAGACAGUGGGAAGGAUAAUUUAUUCCGUGCUGCCAAAGAGAAAACAGAGCAUAACAAAAAAUAUUACAUCGCCAUAUAUGAAUAAACGAUUGAAUUACAUAAGAAUAAAAUAGAUAAACAAAGCAUUAUGUGUUAAUAAUUGUCACCUCAUUAAUUUUGAUCCUCCCUGAUAUUUGCUAAUAAAAUUCUGUUUAAAUACGUUAAAACACAAGGGGUGAUCUGAUAAAGGUUUUACGCCGUACCAACACAGUACAGGUUAAAUGACGCCAAGCAGGACUAAACGUUUUGGUUUCACAGCUCAUUUACGUCGAAAUAUGGAAUCACAACUUUAUAUCUGCCGGAAUCGCCGAGACACAGCAAAACCAAGUGUUCAGACUCGGUUAGUCGCCUCUUACGAUCGUGCAAGGUUAAGACAAUACAGACACAAGUUGUUGUCCCAAAUCCACAAGGGUAUUACAGUUUCAUUCAGUAGUAAUAUAACGUUUGAUUUGCUUAUAUAUAUAUUGGCUGCCUUCUGGAAUAUGUUAUUAUUGCAGUUAAACCAUCUUUUCCCGGACGUCAACGGAUAAUAAAUAUGAAAUUGGA